UUACUCUGGUUUCUCUUCAUAACGCACAAGCCUUUCGCCUUUUACUAAAGCUUCCGGGAGAGGAAAGGAACGCAUGAUGUUGUUUUUAUUUUUUGGUGUGCUUUGCUGUUUGGUUAG